CAUAAUGAUAGAUUAGUGCGAGUGAUUUUAAAAGUAUAUAUAUUAUUGGCAGUUCAGGUAAGAAGAGUUUUUUGUUUUUGCUUUUCCUAAGGUGCUGCUGCAUUUGUAUGUGAUUUUCCAGGUUUCUAGGCAGGUUGUUUUCUGUAGGACUAAAUUCAAAUGGCUAAUUUUAAUUACCUACUAAAAUCUGUGACAAAUUUAUUGUUACAUUUUUGUUUAUUAAAUCUUUUCUUUCUCUUUCAGCAAAUAGUAGUGAUAGUGAAGAACUUUCAGCUGGUGAAAGUAUAACUAAGAGUCAGCCAGUCAAAUCAGUUUCCACUGGAAUGAAGUCUCAUAGUACCAAAUCUCCUGCAAGGACGCAGUCUCCAGGAAAAUGUGGAAAGAAUGGUGAUAAGGAUCCUGAUCUCAAGGAACCCAGUAAUCGAUUACCCAAAGUUUACAAAUGGAGUUUUCAGAUGUCGGACCUGGAAAAUAUGACAAGUGCUCAACGCAUCACAAUUCUUCAAGAAAAACUUCAAGAAAUCAGAAAACAUUAUCUGUCAUUAAAAUCUGAAGUAGCUUCCAUUGAUCGGAGGAG
rnacentral:sRNA from 1 species